AUUACCUUUAGUAACGGCGAGUGAAGCGGUAAGAGCUCAAAUUUGAAAUCUAGCACUUUCAGUGUUCGAGUUGUAAUUUGAAGAAGGUAACUUUGGAGUUGGCCCUUGUCUAUGUUCCUUGGAACAGGACGUCACAGAGGGUGAGAAUCCCGUGCGAUGGGGUGUCCAACUCUAUGUAAAGUGCUUUCGAAGAGUCGAGUUGUUUGGGAAUGCAGCUCUAAGUGGGUGGUAAAUUCCAUCUAAAGCUAAAUAUUGGCGAGAGACCGAUAGCGAACAAGUACAGUGAUGGAAAGAUGAAAAGAACUUUGAAAAGAGAGUGAAAAAGUACGUGAAAUUGUUGAAAGGGAAGGGCUUUAGAUCAGACUUGGUGUUUAGUACUCUUCACUCCUUGUGGGUGGAGCUCUUGCUUUAUACUGGGCCAGCAUCGGUUUGGAUGGUAGGAUAAUAGCAUUGGAACGUGGCUUCGCUUCGGUGGAGUGUUAUAGCCUUUGUUGAUACUACCUAUCUAGACCGAGGACUGCGUCUUUGACCUAGGAAUGCCGC
rnacentral:rRNA from 1 species